CCUACGGGAGGCUGCAGUAGGGAAUAUUGCUCAAUGGGGGAAACCCUGAAGCAGCAACGCCGCGUGGAGGAUGAAGGUUUUAGGAUUGUAAACUCCUUUUGUUAGAGAAGAUUAUGACGGUAUCUAACGAAUAAGCACCGGCUAACUCCGUGCCAGCAGCCGCGGUAAUACGGAGGGUGCAAGCGUUACUCGGAAUCACUCGGCGUAAAGAGUGCGUAGGCGGGGUAAUAAGUCAGAUGUGAAAUCCUGUAGCUUAACUACAGAACUGCAUUUGAAACUGUUACUCUGGAGUGUGGGCGAGGUAGAUGGAAUACUUGGGGUAGGGGGAAGAUACGUAGAGAUCAAGAGCAGUACUCAUUGCGAAGGCGAACUGCUGGAACAUUACUGACGCUGAUGCACGAAAGCGUGGGGAGCACACAGGAUUAGAUACCCUUGUAGUC
rnacentral:rRNA from 1 species